rnacentral:rRNA from 1 species
GACGAACGCUGGCGGCGUGGAUUAGGCAUGCAAGUCGAACGGUAUCAUCCUUUCGGGGGUGAGAGAGUGGCGAACUGGUGAGUAACACGUAGGUUAUCUACCCUCAAGACGGGGACAACCCAGGGAAACUUGGGCUAAUACCGGAUGUGAGCAACUUUUAGUUGUUUGAAAGGUGGCGUAAGCUGUCGCUUGGGGAUGAGCCUGCGUCCUAUUAGUUAGUUGGUGAGGUAACGGCUCACCUAGGCAAUGAUAGGUAGGCGGCCUUAACGGGUGGUCGCCCACACUGGGAUUGAGAUACGGCCCAGACUCCUACGGGAGGCAGCAGUCGAGAAUAGUCUACAAUGGUCGGAAGACUGAUAGUGGCGACGCCGCGUGAACGAUGAAUCCCUUCGGGGUGUAAAGUUCUUUUAUAUGUGAGCAGUGCUUCUUAUAUUAACAGUAUGGGGAGAGAGAUAUUAGCAUAUGAAUAAGCAACGGCUAACUCCGUGCCAGCAGCCGCGGU